GGCCUCCACUCUCUCUAUCCACCGUUGAUGGUUCAUUAUAAUCCUCCCAUUCUCUCUCUUCCCUGUUCUUUCUAAGUUGGCUGCACAGCAGGGUGAAAUCAGGCGGCAGGGCCGGGGAUGUCCCUUUACCCCUCGCAUAUCGGUAAGCCAUUGUCGAUCGGAUCCCUCCCACAUCACGAGCUCCAUCCGUAGAGCAGAUCUCAGGUGGCGAUACAGCAUGAGCUGUGUAUCUCCUUCAGGCUACAUAGUCGACCUCGUAGGUCACCUUCGUUGUCCUCCCGGCACUAACGCCCCAAGUGCCAGCGGCCCGACCUCAUCACCGAGCCCCAGGUUAGCCUGAUCCGUGUGGCUUUAUCCCAAAAUAUCGCAGGUUUUGUGCUGAUGCGAAUGGUUUCGGAUUUCUUUCCCAGGAUUUAUGCACAGAUGGUGAACCUUGCAAAGUCAUAAAAUUGCACCCUUUUUCAAAGCAGGAUGCUCUUGCAGCUGAUGUCGCGAGGGAUCAUCUCUACGUCCAUAUGCGAUUGCAUCAAUGGAAACUAGGAAAGCUCGUGUAGGAGGGCUUAUCUACCCUCUACUGCUACCGUGCACCGUACUGCUUGGGCUUCAUCAUCAAUUUCCAACAUUCCCAGCACAAAAUGCACUUAAAUUUAGUCUAUUAUAACAACAUUUUGUGCUCACUCUAGGAAAAAGUGGGCAAUUUCAAUGUGUUUGUGUGAUCAACUUGUACAUCACUUCAAUUUUGUUGAAUCAAAUUCUGUGAGACCAGCCAAGAUUAUUA